GGCAGCCCGCCGGCCGAGCGGUGCCGGGUCACCCCGGACAGCUUCUGUCAGCACCCAGGGUCCAGGCUGACCGCGGCCCCUGGUGAUCGGUGCCUGAGGGAGCAGAGCCCAAAGCCGGCGGUGGCCGUCGGGUCCUCGCUGAAUGCCGCACAAAAAGCUGGUUCCAGGUCUCAGAGGUCCAGCUCCUGCAGGAGGGAUGUGUACCCAAACUGCACUGGGGAGAAAGCUGAUGCCCUUUAGCCUCUGGUGACCCUUAGCACGGGAUAAUUUAGCCGUGAAACGCUGAUACAAGUUCAGAACCUUCCCUCUCUCUGUCAAGUUGGUUUAAGAAAGGCAGACCAGUUGAAUGGGAUGAGAAGUCCCAGGAGCGCUGGCAGCUGCACCCUGAGGAGCCGUAGCUGGGAGAGCACGGAGAGUAUGGAGGAGAUGGACCACAGCACUGAAAGCAGAGAGCCUAAUUAUAACAUGAGCAAAAGAAAAUAAAGUUAUUCCCAAGAGCCCCAAAAGAAAAUUGUUCCUCAACCAAGAAAACUGCUGACAAGAUGCCAUAGAUCCAGCAACAACAAAAUUUGCAGCAAUCUUCAGUCAUUCUGAGUGGAAGGCACUUAACACAGGAGUAUAAUUCAAAUUCACACCAAAAAUCUAUCCUCCCCAAGAUUACAGCCUGCAGCACCCAUUGUUUAUACAAGAUGAACAGAAUCUGAAACAUGAAUGUCAUUACCCACAGUUAAAUAUUUGAGAUUGUACUCAUUCCCCCUUGGGCUGUCAGGAAGAGUCUGUGCAUUCAGUACCUCCUCAUCUGCUCAUCACCUCAGGUAGUAACAAUACUAGCAUUGUUCAGUGUCUUAAUCUGUGUGGAGUGGUUCAACUUGAUGUGUGGUGUAUACUCAUUCUCCAUGGUUAUUGCACAAGUUUCAGAAGAAAGGCUCAGACAGUUGUUAAUGUUAUGUUGAGGAGCUAAGCAUACACAGGACAAAAAUACUUCAAAAAUCUUAAAGUAACACAAAAACUGAAAUACAAUACUCUUCUGUAUAUCUAGUAAAAUCUUAAGCCUUUCUUAGACUUAAAAUCAGAAUAAUGUUUCUCUAGACAAGAGGAAUAAUAUGUUAGAAAAGACCAGGUGUCUUAAUGAUAUGAAUUUCUAAACAAAUAAACAAACAAACAAACCCCACAGAGACUAAAUGGAAGUCAUGUAGUCUCUGUGGAUCUGGUUGUCAUUUGUGGCUCUGCUUUCUAACACAAUCAUGGCAAAUAACUGCCUGGUUAUGUUACACACAAAGUAUUUUCAGGAAAAAAAUCUGGAGAGACAGUCAUGAUCUAAAAGGCAAAACUAAUAAACUCAGCAUUUCUACCACAUACAGUCUUCCUUCACCUUGAUCUAAAAUGUCCUUUAAAUUGUUGUCUGGGAAAUGGUUAACUUGUUUCCAGAAAUAUAAUCUUUGACUGUGUUGCACCUAAAAGCUCAAGUCAAGCCCCAUAUUUUAAUCUCAAAAUUGCAUAUUUAUCCUAGUCACAAGCAUAACAGCUUCAGUUGUUAACAGCUAAGUAAACAGGCAAUAAACAUUGUUUUCCCUUUACUUUUGUAAGAUUAGUCUAAAUCAACUGCUUUUUCUAAGAAGGAUUCUUGUAACAAUUUUUUCUUAAAGAAUGAUAAAUUCAUAGUAAAUAUUAUGAAUUAUUGUUCAUAAUAUGAAUAAUUCAUACUCAACAUAAAGACUUCAGGUAUUUGAUCAAAACUGGAAAGUAUUUCAACUAAAUAAAUGUCAAGGCAAACCAAUAAAACAUUUGAAGUCUAUGUUGUGUUUUUCAAAACCAAGAUAUUAGUAUUUGGCAAAUUUCAUCUCUCAAUCAAGCCCAUGCUUAUAUUUAUAUUCCUGAAAUAUUUCUUAAGAUUAGCAUAUUGAAAGUCACUCUUUUAUACAAACUAAAACUCAUAAAUUGGCAUAAGUAAGUAGACACUGCCUUGCCUGUAAACGUACCAAUACUGUAAUACAUCAGAUAUCUAUAUUAAAUAAUCCAAAACCUAAAUAUUGCCUAAUUUCAUCCUUAUGCAAUAAAAUUUAACAGGUCAGAAAUGGUUGCGGUAUUUUAUAGUACAAUAAAAGUGUCAGGAUAUCCAGAAUACUAUGUCUACCAUUACAGAUCUGUUUUUUAUCUCCUGGCAUAUUUACUCUUUCUUCAUCUCUUUAUGAGCUCCAUUAGUUACCUAAUUGCACACAUAUAGAUAUGGAUAUAUAUAAAUAUCCUUAUUAUGUAAGUGAGAUCUGCCUAAUGAAACAAUAAUUUGGGAGAUUUAAAUGCAUAACAUACUGUAGGUCACUUCAGCAAUAUUUUAUGCACUACACUAUAAAAGAAUUUGGUUCAUCACCAUGUAACAGUGAGCAGUCAACUAAGAACUAUAGCAGCUAUGAAAAUUAAAAUCCAAGUUAAUAUUUGACCUUAGCUCACACUACUGUGCCUUUUUAAAUUUUAUAUCUUGGUAAUGGCCUCAAUUAAUGCUGGAAUGUCAUUUGGAUUUGCAGCCUCAAUGACCAUUCUUCCUCCAAUGGAUCUAAGCCAGGAUACUUUAACAUGCUUGACUGCAGCACCACAUAGCCUGCUGUGGUUCAUGAGGUAUCAGAUUUCUGUCCUAAUGCAUGAGCUGUGUUGCAAUAGUAAAAUUAGAAAAAAGUCUGACAUAAUUUUGGAAAUAGCUACAGCACAUACAAGUGGCUCAAAGGGACUGACAGCAGGAAGUCAGCAGCAGUUUGACUGAUGCAAACAUUCAACCAUCAGUUAAAGGAUGGCUGCCCCAGGAGAAGCUCCAAGCUAUUACCACUACAAAGAGUCAGGAUGGAAAUAGCACAAAUCACCUGCUAUUGCACCCAUGGUAUCUAUGAAUGUGCUAUUGAAUUCCACCAUCAAAUACUCACAUCAUCAGCUGCAUAUGCUGCUUUUUCUGAAAAGUUUCUUUGCCUGUGUGGGAAGAAAAAAGCAUCAAUGCAGGAAAAGAGGUAGUUUUCAAACUUCUGCAGCUGUAUCCCCUGGACUGCUGCCAGAACCUGGUAAAGACAAGUCUUGCUUUGACGUUGAAACUCUUUUGAAAGCUCAAGAGCAAACGAACGAAGGCUCUUCAGGUCUUGCUUAAGCCUCUUGUCAGCAAGAAGAAAAAUAUGUUAUAAAGACACAGAACCAGCAGUUAAGAAGAAUCAAUACAACAACCCAAAUUAUUAUGGUGAGACAUCACAGGA